AUGGCGGAUGAUGCCGGUGCAGCAGGAGGGCCUGGAGGCCCCGGGGGCCCAGGCAUUGGAGGCCACGGCGGCUUCCGUGGAGGCUUUGGCAGUGGCCUCUGGGGCCGCGGUAGCGGUUGUGGUCGGGGCCACGGGGCUCGUGGAGGCAAGGCUGAAGAUAAGGAGUGGAUCCCUGUCACCAAGCUGGGCCGCCUGGUCAAGGACAUGAAGAUCAAGUCUUUGGAGGAGAUCUAUCUUUUCUCCCUGCCCAUCAAGGAGUCUGAGAUUAUUGACUUUUUCCUGGGGGCAUCCCUCAAGGAUGAGGUCUUGAGGAUCAUGCCUGUGCAGCAGCAGACUCGGGCUGGCCAAUGCACCAGGUUUAAGGCAUUUGUAGCCAUUGGGGACUACAAUGGUCAUGUCGGGCUGGGUGUUAAGUGUUCCAAGGAGGUAGCCACUGCCAUCCGAGGUGCCAUAAUCUUGGCCAAACUCUCCAUUGUCCCUGUGCGGAGAGGCUACUGGGGGAACAAGAUUGGCAAGCCUCACACUGUCCCAUGCAAGGUGACAGGCCGCUGUGGUUCUGUGCUGGUCGCAUCUCAUCCCUGCCCCCAGGGGCACUGGCAUAGUGUCGGCUCCUGUGCCCAAGAACCUACUGAUGAUGGCUGGUAUUGAUGACUGCUACACUUCAGCCAAGGGCUGCACUGCCACCCUAGGCAACUUUGCUAAGGCCACCUUUGAUGCCAUCUCCAAGACCUACAGCUACUUGACCCCCGACCUCUGGAAAGAGACCGUGUUCUCCAAGUCUCCCUAUCAGGAAUUCACUGACCAUCUUGUGAAAACCCACACCAGAGUGUCUGUGCAGAGGACCCAGGCUCCAGCUGUGGCUACAACAUAGGAUUUUUUUAAAAAUAUAAAAAUAAUAAAGUGAAUUAACCCUGUUUUAAAAAAAAAAAAAAGCCGUGGCAGGUGGCACUUCCAGGAUAUUGCGCCAGGCUGCUGGUCCCACACCACUCAGGAGUGGCCUCAGCAGUUCUCUGGGUCUCGUCUGCCUGUUUGCCCCAGCGGAUGGCU